rnacentral:rRNA from 1 species
CGCGCAGGCGGAUUGAUAAGUCAGGUGUGAAAUCUCGGGGCUCAACCUCGAAAUGCGCCUGAAACUAUUAGUCUAGAAUGUCGGAGGGGGCAGGGGAAUUUCACGUGUAGGGGUAAAAUCCGUAGAGAUGUGAAGGAACACCGGAGGCGAAGGCGCCUGCCUGGACGACUAUUGACGCUGAGGCGCGAAAGCGUGGGGAGCAAACA